CAAUAGCGUAUAUUAAAGUUGUUGCAGUUAAAAAGCUCGUAGUUGGAUUUCUGGUGGGAGCGAUCGGUCUGGCGCUUAGCGCGAGUACUUGCAUCGUCUCCGGCCAUCCUUGGGGAGAGUCUGUCUGGCAUUAGGUUGUCGGGCAGAGGAUCCUCAUCGUUUACUGUGAAAAAAUUAGAGUGUUCAAAGCAGGCUUAUGCCGUUGAAUAUAUGAGCAUGGAAUAAUAAGAUAGGACUUUGGUACUAUUUUGUUGGUUUGCGCACCAAAGUAAUGAUUAAUAGGGACAGUUGGGGGUAUUCGUAUUCCGUUGUCAGAGGUGAAAUUCUUGGAUUUACGGAAGACGAACUACUGCGAAAGCAUUUACCAAGGAUGUUUUCAUUAA
rnacentral:rRNA from 1 species